AUUCAUUUCCUUUUUGAAAUUCCUAACCUUUCUGCUAGUAAAAAGGAGGAGGCAUCAGCAUACCCUAUUUCCCCUAGACCUAAGGGGACUUCCCUAAGAGGAUGAAGUGAAGUAUUAGUAAGGUUAGUAUUAGAAAAAGGAAAAUUCUCCUGGUUCCAUCUACAUUGCUCCAAUUCCCUCAGUAAUUAAGAAUGUGCACUCUCCCUAGGACCCUGCAGGGGAUCAGCCACUCCCCCCCUCUGCAGAGACCACUGCCGCUCGCAUUGCUUUGGAAAUUUGAGGGGGGGAAGUUAUCUAAGGGAUCCCAUUUACAAUCUUUCUGCUUCUCUCCUUGCUCUUUUGAACUUCGACUGCUUUUUGUGAGGAACUGUUUUACUUUUUCCACUCAUUAACCAGCAUAAGCCAAUUUUGUUUCAAAGAAAGGAGUCCUACUGUUUACAUAUAAAUUCAAAGUCUGACAAGCCCAACAUUCAUCAGACUCUUUGGUCAAAAUAAUGAUUUUCCCUGUAGUGGCUCUCUAGGCUAUGUCUGUACAGUAUUUAAACAUCUUUUCCCUGUUCUUGUCCCUAGUUUUGGGAACAUAUUCCAAUUCUGAAGCUUCUUUCCCAAGGGGCACAAUUCUCUAGGCACAAUUGCGGAGAACAUUUUCCCCUGUUCCUCAGAGCUCCUAUUCCUCAUCCCUCCAGAAUGUUACUGUGAACCACCUAGCUCACAGGUUACCACACUCCUAUCCUCAGAUCUAGGGCCAAUCCCUCCAGAGUACCUUGCUCCAAUUCUCGGAUUAACAGGGGUGUACUGCUGCCACUUCAAGUGCACAGAGUACCGCAUACCAACAGCUCCCUCCCGAGACUCUUCCAUUCACCACCACAGCCGCUUCGUCUGUCUCUAGCUGCAACCCUCGCAGGACAACAGAACUGCAGAUCGGGACUCCGCACUUGCUUCACACUGAAAGUGUGUCUCAGUCACACACACUCACUCGAGUCUCAACUGACCCUCAAGGCAAGAAGUAAAUUCCCUUACCUUGGUCCGUGCACAAGGUUACCAGGUCUGCAGGGGUCAACACCCGUGCCUACCUGCCCCUUGGCCUUCACAGAUCCGUCCUUUAUGUAACAGUCUCGGUUUCAUAUAGGCCAUCCCAAAGAGUUACCUCACCACCCAGACAGGACCACUAGAAUCAGCACCUAUCCUAUCCAGAGAAGUAGGGGGACCCCCAAAGAGGCCAUAAUAAUCCCAGAUGAGCCCCCAAAUUGUUGGAAAUAUCCAAAUAAUUUAUCAGGAUAGUAUCUCUGAUAAAGCAGAUUUUAUUCGCAAUUGCAAUGGCAGGCUUCCUGCAAGCCAGAGAGCACACAGAAAACAGCUUUACAUCUUUUAUGCCCUAUUACUCGACACUUAUCUCUUUCUCCCCUGGGUCCUCAUUGGCUGAGUACUUCAGGUUCACAAUCUUCCCAACAUUCAGCUACUCAUAAAUUGUUGCUAGUUGAGCAUAUAUUGCUAAUUAAUUAACUUCUCACACUUGAUCAUUCAACAUUCAGUCAUUGUUCCUGGACAUCUGCUCGUCCUUGCCUAGAGAUAAGUUUGGAAGGAGGAUAGAGGGGAGUAUCUUGAUGUCUUCCUGUUGCAUCCCAACCUAUCCACAGAGCGAGGCAAUCCAACCUUGUGUAGAGCCCCUGGCUUCUUUGAUGUUUUUUAAGUCUUUUUCUUUUACUGAAGGUCUCUUAUUUAAACAGAAUAGCCCUACAAUAUGCUUUCUAGUCCAUAAUACUAUUGCGGUUUUGCAAGCAAGAAUUAAUCACAUAAUUCAGCAACUAUACUUCUAAAAUAUGCUACUAGCAUAUAUGGUAUUUCUACCUUUUCACAUCAGCCAUUUCUAAGGACAAGUUACAAAAUACAAAUAGAUUAUGCUCUACUUCUUCAGAUCAAUUCCCCCUUUUCAGUAUCUAAUGCAGAAACAACAUUCCAUUCCUACAUCCCCACUGUAGGGUCCAGGUAGGAGAUUAGGAUGAGGACUGUGGGGUUGAGUUAGGCCCGAAUGGGGUUUAGAGCCUCCUGGUGGGCCCAAGCGCUAUUGCUAGGCAACUGACGCUGCCAUUUUGUCCAUUGCACCCAGGGGGAGGAAAGGGAGAGAGCGUGGCCGUUCUCUCUGUGCCUUCAUCCCGCUGCCAUCGCAAGCUCUCAUUGGCUAGAUGCACUGCCAUUUGCUGGGUGAUGGCUGCCAUUGGCUGGGAAGGUGGGCGGGAGGUGUGGCCGAGAGGGCAAAUCUGGUCGUGGGGGAGAGGCUGCAGGUACCCCGCAGGGCGGGCAUGAUGGGGUGGAAGCGUUAGGAAUCGCACUGGAAGGAGUCUGAAAUUGUGCUGAGGGCUCCGGAGGACACCGAGUGCCACCCCUUGAGGGAUUAUGUCACUCUUAGUGUCUCCCGGUACCACCCACUGAGGGGCUGUGUCACCCUCGGUGCCAACCCAGUGCCAUCUCCACACCUCGAUCCAAAUGAAUGUUACAGAGUCGUGGAAUAAUGGAGUUACUGCAGGGAUAAUGUAACGGUGUCACUAUAGGAAUAAUAGGCAUACCGUAUGGACACCAUGGUUACUGCAGGGACAAUGGGGGACAGACUUACACAAGGACAAAGGGACAUAUGGACACAGAAAUACAGGGACAUGAGCACAGGAGCUUUGCUGAGGGGCUUUAUUGGUGUUUAUUGUGGGAAAAUGGGCUAUGUCCUCUAGAGGAUCUGGUGGGGACAUCUAGGGAUGGUCAAAUUUUCAUGCAACAGAGAGGGGACAGCACAGGGGUCACACCUAUGUGCCAUUCUGAAAGACAAAGUACAGGAGGUGACUUUACGGAGUCUCUAUGGCACCAGAACCUUUGGGCCUUCAUGGAGACUUUAUGGUACUGUGGUACCCUAUGUACCAUAGGGUGAUGUGAUGUUCACCUGCACCACGUAGAGACAGUGCUAUCCUUGGAUCAUGGAUGAUUCCCUCUGUGCCUCCCAACCCAGAGCUCUUUGAGGUCCCCCUGAAGCCCAGGACUCUUUUGGGGUCAGGGGACCACCACCGUCUCUCACCUAGGUAAGAAGACCCACGACCGUGGGUUGCAGGUAGAGGGAGAAAUGGGGAGACUUCAGUGGGCACCAGGAUGUGCUCAGAGCCCACAGAGGGUUCAGAGUUCCCCAAAUUGGCUGUACCCUGAGGGCAUCCCAGAACUCACUCCUGCAUCAAAAGCUUCACUUGCUCUCACCUCAAAAUUGUCCAGGAGCUGGGGAAGGAGGAUGAAGGACAGAUUGGGUUGGAAUUCAUGGAAAAUUGUAUCCCCGUGGGCAUCCCCAUUGACCUCCACCCCCAUAUGGCCCUCCCCUGGACUGAGGGAAAAUCCCUGCUCGUCUUCAUAGACUCAAUUGCUCCUAGUUGUCAUCUGGAAUCUUUGGAAUGCAGGGACCUGGAGGGGAGGUGGAGACCAGGAGGUGGGGACCCAAAGAAGAAACCGAGGGGACCCAAGAACAAGAAACUGAGAGGAUCCAAGGGGAGGAGACAGUGGAGAUCCAAAGAGAACAAAACAAUGUAACCCAAAGAGAAGAACCCUAGGAGACCCAGAAAAAGGGAAUAAGAAGGACCCAAGGAGGGGGAACAGAGGGCACCCAAAGAGAAAGGACUCAAGGAGAAGGAACCAAGAGGACCCAAAGAGAGGGAACCAAGGGAACAGAGAGAACCCAAAGAAAGGGAAUUGAGGGCACCAAAGGAGGAGGAGGUCCCCAGCCAGCCAUUGUCACUGAGCCCUUAUCCCCACACUUGAGCAUGUACAUGGAGGCACAUGCAGGAGCAGCGUGAGGUGGAGCAUGGCUACCUUCUUCCUCCAUAGGAGCUGAGUGAGGCUGCAGGAGGCUAGGGCUGCAUUUAUCCUCCCAGGGCUCCUCCCAGCUCCCCAAAUGCCCCUGGGCUUUGCAGAGCCCCCCUGGCAUGGGCUGAACCCAGCAUGCAGCCAGCCCCCGCCCCUGAGUAUGGGAAGGAGCCAAGGUUGAGGGAACAGGCACUGAGCACUGGGAUCCCCUGGCUGCACGGAUAUAGGGAAAAAGGGGCAUCAUGGAGAUGCAGGGACAUCAUGGAAACCAUGGGAACAUAAAGCUGACAUGAGGGCAUCAUGGGGACAUCAUGGAGAUACGACACACAUGAACAGGUUGGUGACAGGGACCUGGAGUUGCAGGGAUGGGCCACUGUGUUACUGGAAGGCAGUGGUCAGGCUGUGUCCCCUCAGUGCCCUUAUCCCCACAGAGGAGUUCAGGAGUGAAUAACAAACCUUGGCUAUGGCAGCUAGGCUUCCUUGUUGUUUAUUUCUGCAAAACCAAAAGACCCCAACUUUUAGAAUAAUGAAAUCUCCAAUUAAUGGGGUCAUGGAAUCACAGAAGCAACAACUCAUGGAAUCAUAGAACCACGGAAUCACUUAAUCAUAAAACCGUAGAAUCACGAAUCAUUUGGGUGGGACAAGAUUCCUAAGGUUUCAUCAGGAGAUACAUCACAUAUUCUCUUUUUUAAUAGCUGACAGUCAGAAAUCACCAUGUCAUAUCCAGAAGUCUGUAUCACAUAUCUGCAGUGGAAAUAGUGACGCCUCUGUCUGUCACUAGGACACACAGGCUGGGAAUCAAAGGCUGGGAGUGAAAAGGUUAAGUUUUGAAGUCAUUGGACCAUGUGCCUGACUUUCAGCAGAACAAAGGUGUCCUACUGGUUUUGUUCCCAUUAUGACACAGCUUCCUGUCAUAGCUUCAAAUAAAGUGAGCCUUAUUUUAUCCAGAUGAAAAGAGAGGAAUAAUGAAACACUGAUUAAUAACUUAAAACUGUAAAUGACUCGAUGAUUCUUCAAGGAAACCUGAUAUACCAAUUUUAAGUGUUACACCUGACAGAACGUGUAUCCGCUCACAGCUUGACUGGACAUUUACCAUAAGUAAAAGAGCUGUUGUGGGUCAUUUGUGAAAAGAUCACUUGAAUGUUUGCUUUGAGAACUGUCCAGGGAGCAGCCAGGUGGAAGAGUUUCCUUUGGGCUGCCUCUGAUCUGUGCGUCUGUACAGUCAACAAAUGUACAGUUGGAAGAGUAGUGCGGUUAGGAUGGUACUUUGCAGGUGUUAUAGUAGGAAAGAUUGUCGUGGUAGAAAAGAGAGAAUCAAAGAAGAAAUGCUUACUCGUAUCCAAGGAUCUAGACUCACAGUGGAAAACUCCAAAAGGGAGAGAUCUCCAGAAAGAGAUCCUUCCUCAGCCCUUAAAUGGGGUCUAGGAGCCACUUCCGGUCACACAGCUGAACUGCCUUCACCUGUGCUCUCAGGGCUGACCCAGUCCUUAUCUCAGGUGAUCAAUCAGUGGUUCAGGCCAUGACUCAACAGUUUCCAUACAGUGUAAUUUGGCAGAAAGCUUAUCAGAGCUGCAUUAUUCACCGUAUUUAAAUACAUGACUUUAUUCAUAUUCCAGAAUUAUGAAUUGUGUUGGCAUAAUUGGUCUAGGUGAGGUGAAAACUGUCUCUGAGAGAAACUCAAAGCAGGUGGAUGAUGCUUGACAGCAACUUCAGAUUAAAGGUGCUCCUCAGAAAAAUCCCCAUUUGCUGGUUUAAUGGUGUCUAAAAAGAAAUACUCAAGUUUUUAUAGCAGUGACAUGUUGAAAAAGUAAAACAUCAUGAGGUCCAAGGUUCUCAGGCUGCUCAGUCAGCAGCUCCCCUACAGAGAUCUUCCCUUUAUGGAGUCAUGGAAUCAUUUAAGUUGGAAAAGACCUUUAAGGCCACCAAGUCCAACUAUUAAUCCAGCACUGCCAUCUCUAUUACUAAACCCUAUCUGUGGCUUAUCACCUCUAUCUGUGACAUAACACCUACUUUUUGUGGCACAUCACCCUGCUGGGCCCUGAGCUUGUGUUGCUGGGGAACAGUUGCAGGGACUUUUGUAGCACUGUAUCUCCUUCAUUGGGCUUGAUGACCUUUGAGGUCUUUUCCAAUCUAAUUGAAUCUGAGAUUCUAUGACAUUAGGAUUCUAAGAUUCUAGGAUUCCCUGAUACUAGUUUUCUAGGAUUACAAGUUUCUACAUGUUUAGGACUGUAAGGUUCUAGGCUUCUCAAGUUGUAGGAUUCUGAGGCAGUGCCUGGACACCGAAGGGACACUGCAUGAGGACAUUUCUUCUACUUGACAUUUUACAGAACUCCUACAAUUAUUUUUUUUUUUUUAACAGUCUAUAACUUAAACUUGAGCCUGGAAAGCGAUGUUAAAAUGAGAAAGAUGUCUUGAUGUGUUCAUGUUUAAUUGACUACAAUGAGCAAAAACAUGAAAACCCUACUGGAUUGAUUUGGAAGCACAGACCUGGAUGAUGGGAAGAUUUCCAAAGGCAUUUUUCCAGCAUUCUGGGGGACUUCUGGCCUCAGACUGUACGCAUUGUGGUGCUGAGAGGCUGUCCUACAACACUGACAGCAGUGGCUCCAUCCCCAGUUACCCUGGUUGUGACAGAGAAGAGUAUGGAAGCCCUAUCCCUGCCCAAAUCCCAUCACAGCACACGGUGGGGUCUCUGUCCCUCUCCACGUCCCUUCACACCCCAGGAUGGAGUCCUUGCUCCUAUCCUUGUUCCUGCGAUCUCUCGUAGCCCACGAAGGGGUUUCUGUCCCUGUCUUUGUCUCCACGUUCCUUCGCACUCUAUGGUGGGGCCCCUUUUCACACCCCUGACCCCAUGACCCU
ensembl:lncRNA